rnacentral:rRNA from 1 species
AUGAACGCUGGCGGCGUGCUUAACACAUGCAAGUCGAACGAAGCAUUCCAACUCUCGGAGGAAGAAAUGACUGAGUGGCGGACGGGUGAGUAACGCGUGGGUAACCUGCCUUAGUACCAGGGGGAUAACAGUUAGAAAUGACUGCUAAUACCGCAUAACCCGGCUAGUACCGCAUGGUACAGACGGAAAAGAUUUAUCGGUAUAAGAUGGACCCGCGUCUGAUUAGCUAGUUGGUGAGGUAAAUGGCUCACCCAAGGCGACGAUCAGUAGCCGGCUUGAGAGAGUGAACGGCCACAUUGGGACUGAGACACGGCCCAAACUCCUACGGGAGGCAGCAGUGGGGAAUAUUGCACAAUGGGGGAAACCCUGAAUGCAGCAACGCCGCGUGAAGGAAGAAGUAGUUUCGGUAAUGUAAACUUCUAUCAGCAGGAAAGAAAAUCGACGGUACCUGACUAAGAACGCCCGGCUAACUACGUGCCAGCCGCCGC